AUACUCUGGUUUCUCUUCAGAUCGCAUUUUUACUAAAUGCCUUUUACUAAAGAUUUCCGUGGAGAGGAACAAUUCUGAGUCGUAAUCUAUUUUUUGAGGCCUUGCUUCGGUAAGGC